UUUCAGCUGCUCUUCGAGGGGGACGGGAUGGCGAGCAGAGCCUCACAAUUCACCCUUUCCCGGGGCUGCCCACUGAGCUCCUCGACCUCCGCCGGUCUGGAGAGAGGCCUGCAGGGGGGUUCCUUGAAGGCCACUGCGUCCGCCAGGAUCGCUAGCCCAGGCCAGAGCCCAUAGCACACAGGUGCGGCCUCUGCCUGUCACAGGCCUUCGCUUGGAGCCAAAGCCCGCCUUCCUUGCCAUAGCCAAUCCUCCUCAGGGCCAGCCAGGCCUGCAGGCCUCAGGACUACGAGUGCUAUCUCCGAUUUCAAAAUCCCACAGCGGGCGCGUUUCCCGAACCAGUGUGCACCCCCGGGGCGCCUUGGGACGCGCAGUUUAGAGAGAAGCAGCCAUGACGUGCCAGGCGGCCUGUGCAACCAGUCUCCAUGGUGCUGGGGUGGCGGCAGGACUCGAGUCUAGUCGGUCGUCCAGAUCCGGUCAGGGGUGGCCAAGGCGGGGGAGGGUUCCCGGCCAGUCAGGCCCUGGGAGGCCGCCCCUGAGGUCCUCCCUCGCCCCCCUCUCCUCGGGCUGCUUGGGAACCUCUGAGGGGCCCGCGCAGCAGUCGCGCCAGGCCGCACGACGCGGGGCUGCGGCUGGCGUCGGUUCCGGCGACGGCCACAGCGUGGCAGCAGCGAGCGCCCGGCGCUGUCGCAAUAAAUAAUCUGCUCGCGGCAGCCGCAGUCAGGCAGCCCACGGCCCUGCGAUGCAAAUGCGCCGCUUUAUCCGCCCCAGCGCACCCCCCAGCGCGGGUGGACGUCCCCGACGUCCACAGGCCCUUCUUAAUUGUAGAGUGCAUACCAAGGCAUCAUCGUAAGGUGGGGAAACAACAACAACCAAAACCAAAAAGCAAACAAAAAGAACUCCCAGAACCUCAGGAUCAUUUCUGGUCGCUGUCCCAGGAAGCUCCCGGGACAAAUCUGAUCGAGGUACACCCAGGUCAAGUUGGGUCUGUGCCACUGCGCUUCGUCAAGCCCACGUCCGCGGCACCCUCCGCGCCUCCUCCGGGUCGGCUGCACAGUCCUCCCCCGGCUCUCGGCUCUCGGAGUGGGCAGCGCGGUCGCCAGCCAGCCCGCUGCGCCGAGGUGGUUGCGGCUGGGAGGAGGUCCCCUAUCGCCCAGACUCGGUUUGCGUCCUUCCUUCAACCUUGGCUGCGGGCCCCUGCCACUCGCAAUAACACCACCACAUCCUCUGCACCGAAACUUCCCGCCAAGCAACACCCAGCCAAUUAACCCCAUCCUCUCCUCCAACACAGAAUUCCACCCACGAACCUAUUCCCUCUCCCCGCGCUUCAGACACCUCUCUCAUCGGAAAACCGCGUGAAGGGAAGCAGGCACUCAGCAGAGGACCCUGGCUGAAUUAGUCGGGAACUGUCUCCAGUUAUUGGGGGAUUCAAUCCUGCCAAUUGGGUCAUUAAAAAAAAAAAAUCCAAACCCGGGAGGCUGGCAGGGAACGCAGGGUGCAGGGCCACUUCCUUUUGGGCUCUGCGAGGUCGCCGAGGAAGGGGAGAAAGAAGACCUCAGUGUUCCUGCCCCGUGCCAGGGCGCUGUGCCACAGAAGGAAAGCAGGCAUUCACUGCCACGAUGGCGGUUCCCAGAAGCUCCUGCCCCUCUGACAGCUGUCGCUUGGGCAGCCCGGGGAGACGAAUUGUCCUCCUUCCUGGUGCUAGAGGACGCAGGAAAUUAGCCAGGUUGCGAGUUGCAAAGCGGCCGCGGAGGCGCCGGGAACUGGACGAGCCCCACCUCCAGCGGGAGCGGCCGGGCCGGGCCGGGCCGGGGCCUCGUCUCGCUCGCCAUCGCCGGACAAAGCACAGCCGAGCCGGGCUGGAAGGCAGAGCGCCGAAGCAGGCAGGACGGAGCGGAGCAAAAGAAUGCGGCUCUAUUCUCGCAAGGGAAAUUAUAAAAAAGUUCAUGUUCACGGUUCCCAUCCACAUGACCGACAGCGGCCAAUGGAAGGGCCGAACAACUCAUAAAGUUGUAUUGCAAAGUUGUAAAUUUUCAUAAACAACAACGGAUUUAUGACC